UACGAAGGGGGCUAGCGUUGCUCGGAAUCACUGGGCGUAAAGGGUGCGUAGGCGGGUCUUUAAGUCAGAGGUGAAAUCCUGGAGCUCAACUCCAGAACUGCCUUUGAUACUGAGGAUCUUGAGUUCGGGAGAGGUGAGUGGAACUGCGAGUGUAGAGGUGAAAUUCGUAGAUAUUCGCAAGAACACCAGUGGCGAAGGCAGCACUCUGGGACGUGACUGACGCUGAGACGCGAAAGCGUGGGGAGCAAACAGG
rnacentral:rRNA from 1 species